rnacentral:rRNA from 1 species
AGAGUUUGAUCAUGGCUCAGGAUGAACGCUGGCGGCGUGCCUAAUACAUGCAAGUCGUGCGGAAAGGCCACUUCGGUGGUACUCGAGCGGCGGACGGCAGAGUAACGCGUAGGAACAUACCCCAAACUGAGGCAUAACUGCUCGAAAGAGCAGCUAAUACCGCAUGUGAUCUUCGGAUUAAAAGCUUCGGCGGUUUGGGAAUGGCCUGCGUCCGAUUAGCUAGUUGGUGAGGUAAAAUGGCUCACCAAGGCUUCGAUCGGUAGCUGGUCUGAGAGGAUGAUCAGCCUGACUGGAACUGAGAACGGUCCAGACUCCUACGGGAGGCAGCAGUAGGGAAUUUUCCACAAUGGGCGAAAGCCUGAUGGAGCAACGCCGCGUGCAGGAUGAAUGCCUUCGGGUUGUAAACUGCUUUUAUUAGUGAAGAAUAUGACGGUAACUAAUGAAUAAGGGUCGGCUAACUACGUG